rnacentral:rRNA from 1 species
ACAUGCAAGUCGAGCGGUAAGGCCUUUCGGGGUACACGAGCGGCGAACGGGUGAGUAACACGUGGGUGAUCUGCCCUGCACUCUGGGAUAAGCUUGGGAAACUGGGUCUAAUACCGGAUAUGACCGCAUGCCGCAUGGUGUGUGGUGGAAAGAUUUAUCGGUGCAGGAUGGGCCCGCGGCCUAUCAGCUUGUUGGUGGGGUAAUGGCCUACCAAGGCGACGACGGGUAGCCGACCUGAGAGGGUGACCCGGCCACACUGGGACUGAGACACGGCCCAGACUCCUACGGGAGGCAGCAGUGGGGAAUAUUGCACAAUGGGCGGAAGCCUGAUGCAGCGACGCCGCGUGAGGGAUGAAGGCCUUCGGGUUGUAAACCUCUUUCAGCAGGGACGAAGCGUGAGUGACGGUACCUGCA